GGCAGUGUGGCCUAGUGGUUAGAACACUGGACUGGGACUUGGGAGACCUGGGUUAUACUUCCAGCUCUGCCG
rnacentral:tRNA from 1 species